rnacentral:tRNA from 1 species
GGAUAUAGCUCAGCUUGGUAGAGCCCCUGCUUUGGGAGUAGGUUGUCGCAGGUUCGAAUCCUUCUAUCC